rnacentral:rRNA from 1 species
CGGUGGAGCAUGUGGUUUAAUUCGACGCAACGCGAAAGAACCUUACCGACGGGCUUUGACACUCCCUGACCGCGUAUGAAAGUACGUUUUCACCCUCGGGUGACAGGGAGACAGGUGGUGCAUGGUUGUCGUCAGCUCGUGUCGUGAGAUGUUGGGUUAAGUCCCGCAACGAGCGCAACCCCUACGUUUAGUUGCUAACGCGUGAAGGCGAGCACUCUAGACGAACUGCCGUUGACAAACGGAGGAAGGUGGGAUGACGUCAAAUCAUCAUGCCCCUUAUGUUCUGGGCUACACACGUGCUACAAUGGUUGGUGCAACGAGUUGCGAGUCGGUGACGGCGAGCUAAUCUCUUAAAGCCAAUCUCAGUUCGGAUUGUAGGCUGCAACUCGCCUACAUGAAGUCGGAAUCGCUAGUAAUCGCGGAUCAGCACGCCGCGGUGAAUACGUUCCCGGGCCUU